UUUCAUUUGUUGCAGAGCCUGUAGUUGAUCCUUUCGCACAAAGAAAGCAAAAGAAGAGGUGGGUAGAAAAGCAAGGAAAAAAACAGACUAGAGAACUUAAAGAAAGCUGCAAAAGUUGGUGCUUUGCCAAGUCAUAUACAACUUGCUGCAAAGUCCUUGCCCAUCACAGGAACUAAAGCUGAUCUUCCGAGAAAAUCUAGAAAAGAGGAUCUUGAGAAUGUUUCCGGCAUGGGAUCUGCAACAGCAAGUGGUGGGAAGUUUGAUGUGAAGUUGCCUGGCGAGAAACCUCCAAAGCAUCCUGGCAAACAUAGAAAGUUUCUCCCAGUUGCUGAAGGGAAGGGAAUGGGCAACAUGGGGAAACAACAGAAUGACAAAAUCCUGAAGUCUCUACUUGCCAGAAACUCUGAACAGCUUGAUGUUGGCAAGGCAAGUUCCAGGAUUCAAUGGAGUACAUUAAAUUGUGUUUUGCCCACCAUCAUUAGCACUGCUUGUUCUGUUUGAGUGAGCUAACAGCAUCUGUGAACAUUUUUGUAAGCACGCAAUCACAAUGUACAAGGUGAAGAAGGAAAAGCAAAGAAGGAAAGACAGAGAGAUGUCCUCGAAAUCUGAAAAGCUCAAGACCCAGAAGAAACCUUUCAAGAAAUCAUCUAAGAAAAAGGCUUAGGUCCACAUCUUUCUUGUGACUUGUUUUUGGAGGUGACCACAGUUUUGGAGGCUCAAGGAGAUCUGCUGCAUCUUGCUAUUGUAUUUGUCCGGUUUGUAUCUAUGGGAGAAAUAUUGUUGUUCCUUUUACUGGUUAUGAGUUAUGACAUAGGCCUGAAUGAUAUAACAAGAUCACAAUCUGUUAUGCUGCCCUGCUAUGUGCGUAUUAUAUUUUCAAA